UCGAGCGGCAGCGCGGUCUUCGGACUGGCGGCGAGCGGCGGACGCGCUGAGUAACGCGUGGGAACGUGCCCCAAAGUGAGGAAUAACUGCCCGAAAGGGUGGCUAAUGCCGCAUAUGAUCUUCGGAUUAAAGUCUUCGGACGCUUUGGGAGCGGCCCGCGUCGGAUUAGGUUGUUGGUGAGGUAAUGGCUCACCAAGCCGACGAUCCGUAGCUGGUCUAAGAGGAUGAUCAGCCAGACUGGAACUGAGACACGGUCCAGACUCCUACGGGAGGCAGCAGUGAGGAAUCUUCCACAAUGGGCGAAAGCCUGAUGGGGCAACGCCGCGUGCAGGAUGAAGGCCCUCGGGUCGUAAACUGCUUUUAUAAGUGAAGAAUAUGACGGUAACUUAUGAAUAAGCACCGGCUAACUACGUGCCAGCAGCCGCGGUCAUACGUAGGGUGCAAGCAUUAUCCGGAGUGACUGGGCGUAAAGAGUUGCGUAGGUGGUUUGUUAAGUAGGUAGUGAAAUCUGACGGCUCAACCGUACAGGCUAUUACCUAAACUGGCAAACUCGAGAAUGGUAGAGGUAACUGGAAUUUCUAGUGUAGGAGUGAAAUCCGUAGAUAUUAGAAGGAACACCAAUGGCGUAGGCAGGUUACUGGACCAUUUCUGACACUGAGGCACGAAAGCGUGGGGAGCGAACGGGAUUAGAUACCCCGGUAGUCCACGCCGUAAACUAUGGAUACUAGCUGUUGGAGGUAUCAACCCCUCCAGUAGCGAAGCUAACGCGUUAAGUAUCCCGCCU
rnacentral:rRNA from 1 species